UACAGGGGGUGCAAACGUUGCUCGGAAUCAUUGGGCGUAAAGCGCACGUAGGCGGUUCGUUAUGUCGGAUGUGAAAGCCCUUGGCUUAACCGAGGAAGUGCAUCCGAAACUGGCGAGCUAGAGUACUAAAGAGGAUCGCGGAAUUCCCGGUGUAGAGGUGAAAUUCGUAGAUAUCAGGAGGAACAUCUGCGGCGAAGGCGGCUUCCUGGCCCAUUACUGACGUUCAGGUACGAAAGCGUGGGUAGCAAACAGG
rnacentral:rRNA from 1 species